rnacentral:rRNA from 1 species
CACGUAGGGCGCGAGCGUUGUCCGGAAUUAUUGGGCGUAAAGAGCUCGUAGGCGGCCUGUUGCGUCCGCUGUGAAAGCCCGGGGCUUAACCCCGGGUCGGCAGUGGAUACGGGCAGGCUGGAGGUAGGUAGGGGAGAAUGGAAUUCCCGGUGUAGCGGUGAAAUGCGCAGAUAUCGGGAGGAACACCGGUGGCGAAGGCGGUUCUCUGGGCCUUACCUGACGCUGAGGAGCGAAAGCGUGGGGAGCGAACAGG